GUCAACAUGGAUAAUUAAAUCACCAACAAUGACAAUGUUAGUUGAACUAGUGCAGAGUGAGGUAAGCAGAUCACUUAUCUCAGACAGAAAACUUUGCAACCCAUAAUUCAAGCCAAGACAAAUGAUUGCGAUUUUUGCCCUGCUUUUUUGCAAUCUUGUGAAAUAGAACCCUAUGAUCUGACCUAUACACACGCCACCAUGUCACAUCAGGUCUGUGUCAUAACAGGAUCAGCCAUGCACAGCCCAACCCUCUGUGCUUCCAGGGACCCUAAGAGCCAGGGCAGAAACUUGCUUUCAAGAAGGCCAGAGAGAGAGAGAGAGAGAGAGAGAGAGAGAGAGAGAGAGUAAUUGGCCAGUAUGAGCAAAAGAGCUAUCUAUUAUCUCAAUGUCUAAAAUUAGCCAAUCUGAAAGCCCCUGCGAGUAAGACCUCUCUAAGAGAUGACUGAGAGAAAGAAGAAAAAGAAGAAGAAGAACGAAAAAACAUUAUGUCUGCUUAGUGCCCGCUGCCCGCUGUGUGCCAAGAAAACGAAAGAUUAUCCAGCCAACAAAGCAAGUUUCGCAAGAGCAAAGUGAGGAUAAUAAAUGACCCAAGGCAGCACAACAGAUAUGGUUGGUAAUGCUGGCUGAUUAGAGAGCACUUUGCCGCCAGGAUUUUGGGUCAUCAUGGCAUGCCUAGGCAAAGAGAGAUAGGAAAACAGGUGGGUAAAAUGGUAGUGCAUAAGCAUAUAAACAUAAAAAAAUCACAUUUGCUUGCUCCUUAUCAAACUGAUGUAUUUCUACUUGUGUCAUUAUUAGCGCUAAUGUCCACGAUUUCUUGUAUUGCACAGAGAAAUGUUCUUUACAGGCAUUUAGUCACAGAGAAAUAAUGAUGGGAGGGGAACAAAUGUAAAAAUAAUAAUGUUAUAUAUAUAUUAUAAAAUCAUUAGAAUUACCAUAGCCUUUGGAUCUGUGACCCAACGACUAUGGUUUUUGAUUUCAUUCUCAUGUUAUCAGUUGCUAGUUACAAUUUUGAAAAACAGAAAGACACAAAUACACACAGAAAACACAGAUCAACAUAGAAGACACUGAACACUUACAAAUGCUCAAGUCAUCCAGACUAUUGAUAUGAUGAGUACAUGGUUGGGUGCAGAUAAUUCAGAAUUAUUGACUUCGCUGGUAAAUACACCUCAGGAUGUCUCUGAAAUUCCUCUUCUAAUUUAUUGCCAUGCACUCACAUUUUGACAGGUGGAGAGAGUGUGGAUUUGUGCAUUAGAUAGAUUAGGUGCCUGGACUGUGCAUGCAGACACACAC
ensembl:lncRNA